rnacentral:rRNA from 1 species
UACGGAGGGUGCAAGCGUUAUCCGGAUUUACUGGGUUUAAAGGGUGCGUAGGCGGGUAAGUAAGUCCGUGGUGAAAUCUCUGAGCUUAACUCAGAAACUGCCGUGGAUACUAUUUGCCUUGAAUAUUGUGGAGGUGAGCGGAAUAUGUCAUGUAGCGGUGAAAUGCUUAGAUAUGACAUAGAACACCAAUUGCGAAGGCAGCUCACUACUCAAUCAUUGACGCUGAGGCACGAAAGCGUGGGGAUCAAACAGG